CUGAUUGAAAUGGAUGUCGGCUACUAACAAUUAAUCGCAUAUUUAUGGAGUAAGAAAAUGGCUUUAUCAGCUGAAGUAAAAGCAGGAAUCAUCAAGGACUAUGCACAGGGCG
rnacentral:ncRNA from 1 species